rnacentral:tRNA from 1 species
GGCCUCGUGGUGUAGUGGUUAACAUGUCUCCCUGUCACGGAGAAGAUCGUCGGUUCGAUCCCGAUCGAGGUCGCAA